AUUUAUGGCAUUGAUAAUGGGAGGAAGUGAUUGUUUUUACUCAGAAAUUGGCGGAGACGCUUGUGGAUUCCUUCUUUCACGUUCCUUCUCUCUUCCACUAAUCAUUGUCAACAUCCUAGUCCAUGAAACAAAGAGGACGAAAUAGCUACCGAAGGUAGCACAGCCGUCGUUCAGCGUGAGCCCUCUCAAGACGGCAGUGUUGCCCCUAAAGCUGAUAGUGAAAAGAAGUUGUGGAUGAGAAAGUCAGUAAGGAGAUCUUAAAGGAAGGUAACAGUUCGAAACCUCCAUUAUGUUCUACAUCAUCAUUGUUAGAUUGCUGAAUCAGCUUGACUUUCCUGGGUACCUAAUACAAAGCAUAUUUGGGAGAAAACAAAUCGUGUUGUCUUUAUUUUUGCUUUAGAGCCAUGAUAAUGUUUAGUAUCCAGUUUCUUAAA